UGGGGAAUUUUUCGCAAUGGGCGCAAGCCUGACGAAGCAACGCCGCGUGGAGGAUGAAGGUCUUCGGAUUGUAAACUCCUGUCGACCGGGACGAAUGCACCCAACCUAAUACGUUGAAGUGUUGACGGUACCGGUGGAGGAAGCCACGGCUAACUCUGUGCCAGCAGCCGCGGUAAUACAGAGGUGGCAAGCGUUGUUCGGAAUUACUGGGCGUAAAGGGCGCGUAGGCGGCCCUAUAAGUCUCGUGUGAAAGCCCUCGGCUUAACUGAGGAUCUGCACGGGAUACUGUAGGGCUCGAGUUCGGGAGAGGAAAGCGGAAUUCCGGGUGUAGCGGUGAAAUGCGUAGAUAUCCGGAGGAACACCAGUGGCGAAGGCGGCUUUCUGGACCGACACUGACGCUGAGGCGCGAAAGCUAGGGGAGCAAACGGGAUUAGAUACCCGCGUAGUCCCUGAGCGGGCUGGCAAGGCGC
rnacentral:rRNA from 1 species